rnacentral:rRNA from 1 species
UUUUAGGCUUUAUUAGUAUUAUAUUUAACACUAUAAAUAAACAAUAAAGUUCGGAAUUGCAUGGCUGUCGUCAGUUCGUGCUGUGAAGUUUAGGAUUAAGUUUUACUUAACGAAUGUAACCCUAUAAAUAAGUUUUUAAUUGUUUGUAAACUGUUUAUAAAUAUUAUUCUUAUUUAAUCUAUAACCGAUAUUAAGGAAAUCUUUUUUGUAAUAUCGUUUAUAGGGGUUUUAGGCUGAAGUCAAGUCCCUAUGGUCUUUAUACGUUGGGCUACACACGUGUUACAAGGACAAAAACAAAGAGACGCAAAAGAGUAAUCUGGAGCAAAUCUCAAAAAAUUGUCUUAGUUCAGAUUGUACCAUGAAAUUCUGGUGCAUGAAGAUGAAAUCGUUAGUAAUUGUAAAUUAUAAUGUUACAGUGAAAUAAUUGUCAAAUUUUGCACACACCGCCCAUCACGCUCGGAAAGUCGAUAUUGGCGGAAGAUUUGAAUGACUCUACGCAAUACUAUAUCUAUAUAGUUGUUGUUCUAUUAUUUUUUAAUGGUGUAGUUGAGAA